CCUGCCUGUCACGCAGGAGAUCGCGGGUUCAAAUCCCGUCGGGACCGCCA
rnacentral:tRNA from 2 species